AGGCGGGAAUUUCUACUGUCAACACAAACAUAUGAAGAUGGAGCAGAAGUCGCAUGAGAUGAUCUCAAGCACAACAGAGUUACGAACAGAUUUUCAAGCAGUGGACGGGGUUGUUCAGUCAUGGAUGAUCGAUUAUUACUUUACCUCGCUAUGUCGGCUCUUUAGAGAAAGAUCUGCGGGGAAGUUUCGCAAGACUUUAAACAUAUUUCAGGCAACAGUGGAUGAGCUUGAAUCAUGUUCUGCCAGUCGUGAUCAUUCAACUCAGAGAACCAUCUGUUGUUUCCUUGCCAGAGUGAUGGACGGCGAAGAACUGAAUGUCCACUAUGAUAAGAAUGAUCAGAUCUCUCCCUUGAUGUCAGCGCUGAAAGUUUGGGAUUUAUUGGAGGAUUUAGUUUCUGAUCCCGCAUUACACACUAAGAUCAGGAAUCUACUGAUUGUUCAGAGUGUUGCUGUGUGUGUUAGAAACGGGAAAUCACAGAUGGGAAAGGACACACUGCAGUGGCUGGAAAAAGAGGCUCAGAUACCUGAGAAACUACAUGGAAAGCUGACCGGCAUUGUGAACAAGAAAGAUGCAUAUGACCAACUUCUCAUGAACUUAACUUACAAUCAGCUCCUGGAGAAAAUUGACAUGUUCCUUGACUCUCAGCAGGAUGCUUCUCAUUUCUUACUUGAGGCAGCAAUAAAAGUGGUUGAGGCGCGUCAAGAAAGAUCGGAUGAAUCUUCAUGUGAACAGGAUGGUGGCAAGGCGGCGUUGUCCAGCCUGGAGUCAACAAACAAUUCAAAAGAGAAUGACAGCCAAGUGGACCCUUUGGUGGUAAAUAACAGGCAUAAAAAGAAACUUUUGUCAAAACAAGUUGACCCAUGGAAUCCCGAAACAGCAAAGAAAAAACAAAGACUGCUCAGGAGAAGCUCUGUUUGUAAGGUUACCCAGCGGAGUAGUGUUCCUUCAGUAUUAGAAAGUAAUAUUAGUACAACAAGCCGAGGCAGGAGGAAAUGGACUUCGAAAGAAGAUUAUGAGCUUAAAGCAGGUGUAAGGCAGUAUGGGGUGGGGAAAUGGGCUGUAAUCCUGAAUGCGUUUAAUCUCGAGAAUCGUACCAGUGUCAUGCUUAAGGACAGGUGGAGAACUUUGAAGAAACAGAACAUUGUCUAAGUUUCUGAGGACUUUUUUUUAUUCUUCCUUUAUUUCUUUUUAAAGUUUUAAAACCUUUGGCGUUAUUGCUUGAAAGUUGUCAUAAGUACCAUGCAGUGUGGUUUACGUAAAUGUAUAGAGUGGAACAUGUAUACUGUAUGCAUGGUCAUGUAUAUAAGGCCUUUUUCCCCCACAGAAUUUAUACUUAUGUUUUAUUUUGAGAGAAAAACUAAACUAGAUGUGUUGGCCAAUACAGUGGCAUCACAUUUUGGUCAUUUUUUUUUGUAGUAAAUAAACUUGAGCAAAUUGCAUUCCGAUUUGUUUUUGAAGGAUAAAUGUUUGUCCAGUAGAGAGCGUAUGUAAGAAAAAGUGAUCUUUGUUUUGUUUCAUUUUCUGAAGAUAUUUGUCAAAAAAUUGUGUUCAUUUAAAGCAACAAAGCUGUUCAGAUAUAAAGGUUUAAAAAAAUGUUUCGCAACAUAUUGUUCCUAUGAGGAUUUGUUUAGUAAAACAUCUGCAUUCAACCUGUUUGUUUAAAUGAAAAUGAAGCUGUGUACUAGUGGACAGGAGCAGUGCUCUAGUCUCUGGACUUUUCUCCAUGUUCCUCUGCAGCGAGGACUUCCAACUGCCUGCCAGUGUAGAAGCUCAUUCCUGUCAAGAACAGAAGCGCAUUAGCUUCAAAACUGUGUAGUUGUGGGUGUUCAACUGUAUCUCAACAACACUGUGACUGUAUGGUUACACUACCUUUCAGCUAGGGUACCGUCUCCUUGGCAACUCCGGCUGUGGUUGCUCAUGGCUGGAGGUUGACAAGCCACACAGAUGGUGUAACCUUCCCGUAAGUACUGCAUCCAGCGAGUAUAGGGUCUGUCCUCUACCAUACACUGUGGUGUGAGAGACUCCAUCUUGAAUUCCAUGCAGAAACUGAAAUAGGCGAUAUUGUGUUUAAUUUAAGGUCUUUAAAAAAAGUGUCUAGAGAUGAAUAAAAUGUUGUUUUACUUUGUAGGUAACAAUCUUACUGUUCUGAAAAAGUAAUCUUUGAUAAAAUAGUAUAGGUUUGUGGUUUUGAGUAAUGAAGGCAAUUCCUUGAAAAUGUCAACCAUACCAUGAAAAGGUUUUUACUAUGGUAACAGCAUAGAUUUGAAAAUCUGGUGGGUCAGAUACCCAUGUUAGAUCUAUCUUCAAAUUUGUAAAGCAUUUGUUUUAUUUUUAGUGCAUGAUUUUUCAUAGUCAGGUAAGUGCCAUUUUCAGGAUUGUCACAUCUAUGGAUGGGCUCAGUGCCCAUGACCCCGAGGGGGCCCUGGGCUUCAAGGUUGCGCCAUCCAUUUUGGUACAAUGAAAACAAAUGUUUCCCAUACCCUAUACAAGGCCUGUGUGGAUAUCCUGUAAAAAAUUAAUGAUCAACAAACCAUGGCAACAUACAUUUUUAUGUUACUUUAUUACAUUAAAUGUAGCCCAUUAAAAAUUAAUUUACUUAUUAAUUAAACAACAGCACAUUUAAAUUGCAUUUUCUGAAUCUUUUGCUUGAUGAUUUGAUGUUCACAGACAUGUCACAGGGGCAUUUUAUGGUGAGAAUGAUGUGAUGAAUUAAAUACGUGUAUAUUUGACACUUAAUUAAAGAUGCAUUAAUUUG